UGGGGUCCUUAGGGUCCUUUGGGUCCAUUUGGGUCCAUUUGGGGUCACUGUGGGGUCCUUUGGGUCCAUUUGGGGUCUCUUUGGGGUCCUUUGGGUCCAUUUGGGGUCACAGUGGGGUCCCUUUGGGUCCCUUUGGGUCCAUUUGCGGUCACAGUGGGGUCCCUUUGGGUCCAUUUGGGGUCCCUUUGGGUCCAUUGUAGCCCAUUGGGGUCCAUUGGGGUCCAUUGGGUCCCAUUGGGGUCCAUUGGGUUCUAUUAGGGGUCCAUUAUGGGUCGGUUCUGGUUCUGGUUCCGAUUGGUUCCCAUUGGGUUCUACAGGCCCAUUGGGGUCCCAUUGGAUCCUAUUAGUGGUCCUUUGGAGUCCAUUGGGGUCUAUUGGGGUCCAUUGGGGUCCAUUGGGUUCUAUUAGGGGUCCAUUAUGGGUCGGUUCUGGUUGGGUUCUGGUUCCGAUUGGGUCCCAUUGGUUUCUACAGGCCCAUUGGGGUCCCAUUGGAUCCUAUCUGUGGUCCAUUGGGCCCAUUGGGGUCCCUUGGAGUCCAUUGGGGUCCAUUGGGGCCCAUUGGGGUCCAUUGGGUUCUAUUAGGGGUCCAUUAUGGGUCGGUUCUGGUUGGGUUCUGGUUCCGAUUGGGUCCCAUUGGGUUCUACAGUCCCAUUGGAGUCCAUUGGGGCCCAUUGUGUUCCAUUGGGGCCCAUUGGAGUCCAUUGGAGUCCAUUGGAGCCCAUUGUGUCCCAUUGGGGUCCAUUGGGUUCUAUUAGGGGUCCAUUGGGUUCUAUAUGGGGUCCAUUAUGGGUCGGUUCUGGUUCCGAUUGGGUCCCAUUGGGUUCUACAGGCCCGUUUAUGGCUGCUGGGCGUUGGGUUCAGUGUGGCCUAUGGCAGCAUGUUCACCAAGGUCUGGUGGGUCCACACGGCCGUGACCAAGAAGGACGAGACGAGCGCAGGGACAGGAGAAGGUAUGGGGUUUAUGAUGGGAUAAUGGGGGGGUAUAGGGGGGGAUAUGGGGGAUUUGGGGGGAUAUAGGGGGAUUAUUGGGGAUAUGGGGUUAUAUGGAGGGGAUGAAUGGGGGGAUAUGGGGGAUAUGGGGGUAGGAUAUAGGGGGAUAUAGGGGAGUAUGGGGGGAUAUGGGGGGAUAUGGGGGGGUAUAGGGGAUAUGUGGGGUACAGGGUUAUAUGGGGGGAUAUAGGGGGAGAUAUGGGGUUAUAUGGGUUAUAUGGGGAUUAUGGGGGGAUAUGGGGAUUUAUAUGUGGGUAUAUGGGGGUAUAAGGGGGAUAUGGAGGGGAUAUGGGGGGAUUGGGGAUAUGGGGGGAUAUGGGGGUGGAUAUAGGGGGAUAUGGGGGAUUGGGGUCUAUGGGGUUAAUAUGUGGGGGUCUAUUGGGGUUAUAUGGGUUAUAUUGGGGGAAUUACUGGGAGGAUAUGGGGGGCGGAUUAUGGGGGGUAUGGGGGGAGUAUGGGUUAUAUGGGGGAUAUGAGGGAUAUUGGGGGGAUAUGGGGAUUAUGGGGGGAUAGGGGGGAUAUGGGGGAUUGGGGUUAUAGGUGGGGAUAUGGGGGAUAUAGGGGGAUAUGGGGAUAUAGGGGCGAGAAUGGGGGAUAGGUAUUGGGGGAUUAUGGGGGGAUAUGGGGGGAUAUGGAGGGGUAGGGGGUUAUGGUGGGGUAUAGGGGGGAUAUGAGGAGGGGUAUAGGGGGAUAUGGGGGGAUUAUGGGGUUAUAUGCGAUAUGGGUUAUAAUGGGGAAUAUGGCGGGAGAUAUGGGGGGGUGGUAUAGGGGGAUUAUGGGGUUAUAAUGGGGGUAUAGUAGGGGGUUAGGGUUAUAUGGGGGGAUAUGGGGGGAUUGGGCGGAUUUAUGGGGGAUAUGGGGGGAUAUGGGGUGUAUAGGGUCUAUGGGGGGGAUAUGGGGGGAAUAUGGGGUAUGGGGAUAUGGGUUACUAUGGGUUGAAGGUUUAUGGGGAUUUCGGGGUUAUAGGGGGAUAUGGGGUCCUA
rnacentral:lncRNA from 1 species